UGUAGAUGGAGAAUAGUCGUCGGUUUGUGUCAUCAGCCGUCGUGUCUAUAACGAGGUCUCCUUAACAAAACGGAAUAAGAAUCGCACAACGUAUAUUGUCACAUACACGUCUGAUUGGAAAGGCUACUACGCGACGUCACGAGCUGCACUGUCCCAACAUUAGAGACACUUUCCAGCCCACGCAGCAGUUGCAGGCUGAAACAUCAAUUAUGUCGCAUCCAUGAAAGCCGUAUAUAGUGCUACUGCUGCUGCGCGUCUCUCAGUAAAGACAGCACCACUUGCGCUGAAUAAUGGAGAGGAUUUCUUAUUUAAUAUCAUGCAGCAUCAUUCUUUCUCAACGAGGCCAAUGACGAUAGAUGCCGCUGACUAGCAACCUUGAAUGAAACCUGUUUUACUCUAUAGGUUUAUAGAUACAUCCUUCUUCUUGUAACCGAACAAGUUUAUAAUGAACGUCCCUUUUCAUAUGUUUGGCACGUAAGUUAGCCUAUGUGUAGUCGAUGGGAUUCUUUCGCGGGGAUCGUUAGUCUUGUACGCAGCUGGAAUACGCAAAAUCUCGUGAACCUUAUUACACUGUCUGAUAUAUCAAGUGUAUAUAUAUAU